CGAAAGUAAUCACGGUUUAUCAUAACCCAGUGCUCAAAGCAUAUCAUCAUUUAAUCAAAAUAUGAAUCAAUAUACUCAUUAUAAGCUAGUUGAAAAAAAUAAAUUCUUACCUGUAAUCAAUAGAAGGAAUGAAGCUGAUCUCACAUGGAAGAAAUGGAAUUACUGAAAUUAAAAUAAAAAAGCUUUGAUUGAAAAAUCAUUCAACUUCAUAAACACGGACCAAAGCAAAUCAUCACUGAAAUCUCAAUUAAAAAAAAAAGAAGAUUGAAAAAAUAUAUUUACCUAAAAAUAUUGAGAUUCACCUAAGAAAUAGAAUAUGAUAGUAACCUAGAAAGAAGAGAAAAGCUUUGAGAGUGAAAUCAUUAAACUUCAUAAACACGGACCAAAGCAAAUCAUCACUGAAACCUCAAUUAAAAAAAAAAAAAUUGAAAAAAUAUAUUUACCUGAAAAUAUUGAGAUUCACCCAAGAAAUAGAAUAUGAUAGUAACCUAGAAAGAAGAUAAAAGCUUUGAGAGUAAAAUCAUUCAACUUCAUAAACACGGACCAAAGCAAAUCAUCACUGAAACCUCAAUUAAAAAAAAGAAGAUUGAAAAAAUAUAUUUACCUGAAAAUUUUGUGAUUCACCCAAGAAAUAGAAUAUGAUAGUAACCUAGAAAGAAGAGAAAGUAUAUUAAAAAUUAUGGAAUAAUAAAAUAAUCAAUUUCUAAAAAUCAAAUAUUUCAGAGCUUUGAGAGUAAAAUCAUUCAACUUCAUAAACACGGACCAAAGCAAAUCAUCAUUUUUCAAACUAAUGAUAGUGAAAUAUAUCGUUAUGGUAUUGAAAUUUUGCUUUAUCUGUAUAACAUUAAGAAAAUCCUAUUGUUACAAAUGAAUUAAAAUUUCCCAUAAAAUCUGUUAACUCACCAUUUCAA